GCUGGGCGUGGUGGCUCACGCCUGUAAUCCCAGCACUUUGGGAGGCUGAGGCAGGAGGAUCACCUGAGGUCAGGAGUUGGAGACCAGCCUGGCCAACAUGGAGAAACCCUGUCUCUA
rnacentral:sRNA from 1 species